CGGGACGGGUGAGUAACACGUAGGAAUCUGCCUUUAGAUGGGGGAUAACUGACCGAAAGGUUAGCUAAUACCGCAUAUGCCGCAAGGUAAAAGGAGCAAUCCGUCUGAAGAUGAGCCUGCGUCCGAUUAGCUAGUUGGUAGGGUAAAAGCCUACCAAGGCUACGAUCGGUAGCUGGUCUGAGAGGAUGAUCAGCCACAAUGGGACUGAGACACGGCCCAU
rnacentral:rRNA from 1 species